rnacentral:rRNA from 1 species
GAUGAACGCUGGCGGCGUGCUUAACACAUGCAAGUCGAACGGAAAGGCCCAAGCUUGCUUGGGUACUCGAGUGGCGAACGGGUGAGUAACACGUGGGUGAUCUGCCCUGCACUUCGGGAUAAGCCUGGGAAACUGGGUCUAAUACCGGAUAGGACGAUGGUUUGGAUGCCAUUGUGGAAAGUUUUUUCGGUGUGGGAUGAGCUCGCGGCCUAUCAGCUUGUUGGUGGGGUAAUGGCCUACCAAGGCGUCGACGGGUAGCCGGCCUGAGAGGGUGUACGGCCACAUUGGGACUGAGAUACGGCCCAGACUCCUACGGGAGGCAGCAGUGGGGAAUAUUGCACAAUGGGCGCAAGCCUGAGGCAGCGACGCCGCGUGGGGGAUGGCGGCCUUCGGGUUGUAAACUCCUGUCGCUAGGGACGAAGCGUUUUUGUGACGGUACCUGGAGAAGAAGCACCGGCUAACUACGUG